GGGCCCGCACAAGCGGUGGAGUAUGUGGUUUAAUUCGAUGCAACGCGAAGAACCUUACCAGGGUUUGACAUCCUGCGAAUCUCUUGGAAACGAGAGAGUGCCUUCGGGAACGCAGUGACAGGUGGUGCAUGGCUGUCGUCAGCUCGUGUCGUGAGAUGUUGGGUUAAGUCCCGCAACGAGCGCAACCCACGUCUUUAGUUGCCAGCAUUUAGUUGGGCACUCUAGAGAGACUGCCGGUGAUAAACCGGAGGAAGGUGUGGAUGACGUCAAGUCAUCAUGCCCCUUACAUCCUGGGCUACACACGUACUACAAUGCUACGGACAAAGGGCUGCAAGUUCGCGAGGACAAGCAAAUCCCAUAAACCGUGGCUCAGUUCGGAUUGUUGUCUGCAACUCGACAACAUGAAGUCGGAAUCGCUAGUAAUCGCGUAUC
rnacentral:rRNA from 1 species